AUGAGUGGUGGGGAAUUGUUUUGUGCAUUGUUUUUAAACCCACCGAGGAGCGUAAUCAUGAUUACCAACUGGACUAUCUCUUUGAAGUGGAUGAAUGCCUAAUGACUUAUUACGCAUUUGGACUUGGAGACCCUACUUUUUUUAUUAAAAUUACGGCAGAAUAUGGAGGGGAAUGGUCUCGUACAUAUUAUAUGUCAGAAUAUGUUAAAGUGGAAUCGCAUCAUCUUUGGCUGCAUAGUCUGUCCAAGGAAUGUUUACUUCCAACAGAGAUUGAUAAUAAGCGAUUCCAUGAAGUUGAGCUUGAAAUAGAGACCGGGCGCAUGGAGGUGGAGAAAAUUGGGCUUCGUGUGGUAUAAAAGCAAGACAUUGAAGAUCCCAAUUGAGAUGCUUUCUUCAGUUGGUGAUGAAAUCUAGGGUUUGAAGAUCCCAACCAAAAUAUGCGAAGCCCAUGAUGAGGAUGAUGGGGAAUUCUUUUCUUCACUUCUUUUACCUUUCCUCAUGCGGGAUUUGGAUUGGGCUUUGAAAGGCUUGUGCAAUUUGCUACAGGAAUAGAGAAUAUAAGAGACACAAUCCCUUUCCCUCAGACGCCUGGUUCAGCUGAAUUUUAAUGGUGAAGUUGUGCAUUUUUUUUUUUUUGUUCUCUUAUUGUAGUCAACCACAGCAUCAUUUUUUUACCUGUCCUGCUCCUCAUCUCCUUAAGUAAAUUCAAUUUGAAUCACCUUCUCUGUUUAACACUUAUGUGCAUCAAAACUUCAAACUAUAUAGGAAGGCUACCAAAAACGAAAAAAGAAAAAAAGAAGGGGAUUAAUGGAGUUGGCCCCAAUCGGUUGGGACCAAUGCUUGGAUUAUCUUCUGGUCAGUGUUGCCUAAUCUGAAAAAUGUUGAUAAUUGUGAAGUGAUCAUAUAUUUAUUUGGAAGUUAUAAAUAAAAAUUGUAUUUUUGUAUGACAUUCAUCUGAAACUCAUUGAGUUCUUGUGUGUCAUAAUAUCAUUUCUUUGUUUUCAAAUCUUUUGCAUCACUGAAUAAUUACUUGAAUGCUUCUUAUUCUUUUCUUAGGAUUUACUUUCAAUUUGUUGUGGAUGCAGAAAUGCAUCAAUUCUUUGAAAACAAGAGAAUCGAUCUCUUUGAAGGGGGCACCAAAGAAUAUAAAUAAUGCCUUGCUACAUCUUUUUCACCAAUGUGCUAGUUUUCACUGAUGUGUCUACUACUCUUGUCAGCCUUUCAUGCUAAAAUUAGAGUUAAUUAUGAGUUUAUAUUUUCAUACAACCUUAUGGCUCAUGCAUUUUUGUUGUAAUGCUUGGAUGAUUAAGGAUACCUGAUAAACACACGUCUAUUUGGUUGUGGAUUUGUCAAAGAAUUUUGUCUAAUAGAAAAUAUUAUAGUAGUUUCUGUACAUAAUGAAAAGAUACCAGAUUCAUAUACAUCCCAGUGAAGUUGGUUUGGGUAGCUACUUUAGUGAUUGAGUUUGAUGUAAUGCAUAUUACAGAUGAAGUUACCAUGGAUGGCUGCUGUCUGUUGGCGCAAGUAACUAUUCAAAACCCUUAGAACUUGGCCAAUUUGAUGGCUUUAAUCUUUGUGGACGCUAUAUUGAUGAUUUUAUAAUUUUUUAUUUUUGAGAAUUCUUUGUAUGCGAUGGAGUGAGUGCACAAUAGCAAUACCUGGAGCAUUGGGGUGGAGACAGUAGGGUUCCGUUUGUUAAACAAGCAAGACAUCAAAGAGACAUAGAAUGUGAGGAAUCCAGUCAAGGAGAUUUUUUUUUUUUUUUUCUCUUCUUUUACCUGUGAGUUAUCAUCUUCUUCCUACCAUUAUAUAAUCUAGUUGUUUCCUUCCUUUUUUUUUUUCUUUUUUUUUUUCCCUGGACAUUUACUAACAUGUCUUUUUCUGUUAAACUUCUACUACUAUACAAAUGCAUAUUGAGAUUUCUUAUUUCUCUGUUAACGGUUUGUUGUAAUUCUUGUUUUUCUUUUUCUCCAACAGUCCGACAUAUAUAAUAAUGUUUUCUUUUUUCCUUAUUGGCAUUUGGGACUAUGAUUCAUGUUGAUUUACAAAAGGCACCUAUCUCGGCUCCUUAGAUGUUGAUUUUGCUCUAUGAUUUGCACACUUACAUGUAAUUGAAGUUAGAUAAUGAAAAGUAAUGAAAAAGUGAAUUGAUGUUUGCAAAACUUUUUUUCUGUUUGGUAAUCAAAGAAUGAGAAGUGAAUAAAUAUUACAAUUUUUUAAUGGUAUUGUGUUAUAAUUUGUACAAUGAAUAUGCCGUAUUUAGCACACACCAACACUUCCUUUGGGUUUUCAUCAUAUCAUCUUUUGGUGCAAAGGACAUGUGUUUGUAUAUCCCAGCGGAUAGUAUGCAGAAACUAGCAACCCCACAACCAGCAUCCAUAAUGUGAACUACCCUGCAGACAGAUCAACUGUCUCACUAGUAGACAUAUUUCUCAACCUGUCAUGACAUGUCAUGACUCAUGAGGCUUGUAAUUCAGUAGAGUUUAAAUGUUUGCGGUAUAUGGUUUUAACUCUUAAUAGGCCUUGUUAAAAGGUGAGCUAUUGCGUUUCGCUCAUGUUUGUUGUAUCAACUAUAGAUUCACUGUCACUCACAGUGAGACAUUAAGUCUUAUACAUAGAUGUUAUAUAUUAUAAUGUAGGACAGAGGUUCUGGAUCUACACCCCAUUUAAGCUAUUUCCAAUUCCAAUACCGAACAUCCUUUAAAACUCAGUAAAUAAUAUGCUUAAGGACUUAUGCAGUGUUAAGAUCUAGAUAUAAUUAAAAUUUGCCUAUAACCUUGGGUGUUUAAUGUCUUGCUAGCAUCGUGUAAGUGUACACGUUUUUCACCCAUGUGCUAGUUUUCGCUAAUGUGUCUACUACUCUUGGCUGUCUUUCAUGCUAAAAUAAGAGUUAAUUAUGGGAUUAAAUAGUCAUACAAACCUAUGGCUCAUGCAUUUUUGUCGUAAUUCUUGGAUACCUGAUAAAGACAUUUCUAUUUGGUUGUGGAUUUGUCCUGGAAUUUUGUCUAAUAGAAAUAGUUAAAAUAGUCUGUAUCAGCUGAAAAGAUGCCCGCUUCAUAUGCCUCACAGUGAAGUUGGUUUGGGUAGCUACUUUAGUGGUUGUGUUUGAUGUAAUGUAUGUUACAGAUGAAGUUAUCGUGGAUGGCUGCUAUUUGCUGGUGCAAGUAACUCUUUAAAACCCUAAGUACUUAGCCAAAUUGAUGGCUUUAAUGAUAUUUUGAUGAUUUUAUAGUUUUUUUAAUUUUUAUUUUUGAGAAUUCUUUUAUGCAAUUUAGCGAGUGCACAAACACACACAUGAUAAGUUAAGAUAGAAAUGAUAAUAUGAAAAUACCACUCUCAUUGACAUCGUGAAAUCAGUGUCACAGUAGUAUUGUGUCUAAAGUAUCUUUGUUAACAUCUACCUUUUUUAUGGUUCAGAAAUUGUAAAUUGCUGCUUCUAAAGUAACCAAUUCAUACCUUUAAGUUUAAUCUGGAAUCAUGCCCUAUGUUUGAUAUAUUUCAUAUCAAUAUAUGUUGCUUCAAGUACUUUAUAGUUUUUAUGUUAAAUGUUUCUCAGUUAUGAAGUAUAUUUAAUGCUAAGGCAGUUGCUAUAUGCAUGCUGCCAUGACAAAUCAACAGCAAACAGAUAGUGGAAACCGGAUGAUGGACAAGACUGAUCAAGCCAUUGGAGGUCAUAAAAGACUGUUCAAGACACCAUCAACGUUGGAACAGAAACUGCAGCUGCACUCAAGGAUCAGACUGAACAAAUGAGUCAGGCUGUUAAGUGUUAAUGAGCUGGACUAUCCAUUUCUCGAUCAAGAAAGCUUCUCAACUUGUGAAGGAACUUGGUAGGCAGGUUGCAACUGAUAGGUGUAUUAUGGCAUUACUCUUCCUAAUUAUUGCCAUUGGAGUCAUAGCUAUCAUUAUUGUAAAGGAGGGACAAUCAUGGCACGGGGAUUGAGGUCCCUAUUGAGGUGGAAAAAAGGAUGCAUAUUUAUUACAUUCGGAACAGAGGGUUUGGUAACAGAUUUAAUGUGUUGGGUGAUGACAAUCAUGGCACUCCGAAUGGCUUAACGCAAUGACCCAGAAAUCAAGAAGGCAUGUGACUCAUACAGUGAUCAUUUUGGACAGUUCAUCAAACUGAUAUUCUAUGGCAUCCAAAAGGAGCAGUACUAGUAGAAGUUGGCUGUACAAAGUCAAAGCUUGUGUGCUUGCAUUUAUAGUGACUUGAUGUGAAGAGUGUGGAAGGAAGAAAA